rnacentral:rRNA from 1 species
AUUGAACGCUGGCGGCAGGCCUAACACAUGCAAGUCGAGCGGAGCGGCGGACGGGUGAGUAAUGCCUAGGAAUCUGCCUGGUAGUGGGGGAUAACGUCCGGAAACGGGCGCUAAUACCGCAUACUAUCAGAUGAGCCUAGGGCGGAUUAGCUAGUUGGUGGGGUAAAGGCCUACCAAGGCGACGAUCCCUAGCUGGUCUGAGAGGAUGACCAGCCAAACUGGGACUGAGAAACGGGCCAGAAUCCUACGGGAGGAAGCAGUGGGGAAUAUUGCACAAUGGGGGCAAGCCUGAUGCAGCCAUGCCGCGUGUAUGAAGAAGGCCUUCGGGUUGUAAAGUACUUUCAGCGGGGAGGCGUUACCCGCAGAAGAAGCACCGGCUAACUCCGUGCCAGCAGCCGCGGUAAUAC